UACGUAGGGGGCAAGCGGUGUCCGGAAUUAUUGGGCGUAAAGAGCGUGUAGGCGGUCCGGUAAGUCAGCUGUGAAAGUCAAGGGCUCAACCCUUGAAUGCCGGUUGAUACUGUCGGGCUAGAGUCCGGAAGAGGCGAGUGGAAUUCCCGGUGUAGCGGUGAAAUGCGCAGAUAUCGGGAGGAACACCAAUGGCGAAGGCAGCUCGCUGGGACGGUACUGACGCUGAGACGCGAAAGCGUGGGGAGCAAACAGG
rnacentral:rRNA from 1 species